GCCGGGCAUUGUGGCGGGCGCCUGUGGUCCCAGCUACUUGGGAGGCGGAGGCAGGAGACUCGCUUGAGCCCAGGAGUUGGAGGUUGCUAUGAGCUGUAAUGCCAUGGCACUCUACCCAGGGGGACAGCUUGAGGCUCUGUCUCAAAAAAAAAAAAAAAGAGACAGAGUUUCACUUUAUCGCCCUUGGUAGAGUGCUAUGGCGUCACAGCUCACAGCAACCUUCAACUCCUGGGCUUAGGCGAUUCUCUUGCUUCAG
rfam:Otolemur garnettii contig182967, whole genome shotgun sequence.